CCUACGGGUGGCUGCAGUGAGGAAUAUUGGUCAAUGGGCGGAAUCCUGAACCAGCCAAGUCGCGUGCAGGAAGACGGCCCUAUGGGUUGUAAACUGCUUUUGUACGGGGGUAAAAUGCGUCACGUGUGGGGUUUUGAGAGUACCGUACGAAUAAGGAUCGGCUAACUCCGUGCCAGCAGCCGCGGUAAUACGGAAGAUCCGAGCGUUAUCCGGAUUUAUUGGGUUUAAAGGGUGCGUAGGCGGUAUAAUAAGUCAGCUGUUAAAUAGAGAGGCUCAACGUCGGCGCUGCCGCUGAUACUGGAUGACUGGAGUGCGUGUGAAGCAGGCGGAAUGUGUGGUGUAGCGGUGAAAUGCAUAGAUAUUACGCAGAACACCGAUUGCGAAGGCAGCAUGCUGGGGCUCAACUGACGCUGAUGCACGAAAGCGUGGGUAUCGAACAGGAUUAGAUACCCGAGUAGUC
rnacentral:rRNA from 1 species